rnacentral:rRNA from 1 species
GCCCAGCCGUAAACUUUUACUUACACUCAAUCGCCAGGGAACUACGAGCUAAGCUUAAAACCCAAAGGACUUGACGGUACCCCAUAUCCCCCUAGAGGAGCCUGUCCUAUAAUCGAUAACCCACGUUAAACCUCACCAUUUUUAGUUAAUCAGCCUGUAUACCUCCGUCGUCAGCUUACCACGUGAGCGUUAAUUAGUGAGCCUAAUGUUUUUCACCAAUACGUCAGGUCAAGGUGCAGCAAAUGAAAUGGGAAGAGAUGGGCUACACUCUCUAUUUUAGAAAAAACGAAAAACUACCUAUGAAACCUAGUUAGAAGGCGGAUUUAGCAGUAAAAAGGAAUCAGCAUGUCCCUUUUAAUCCGGCACUGGGGUGUGUACACACCGCCCGUCA